CGUGUAGGCGGACUCGCAAGUCGGUUGUGAAAUCCCUGGGCUUAACCUAGGAACUGCAUCCGAAACUGCUUGUCUUGAGUAAUGGAGAGGGUGGCGGAAUUCCCGGUGUAGAGGUGAAAUUCGUAGAUAUCGGGAGGAACGUCAGUGGCGAAGGCGGCCACCUGGACAUUUACUGACGCUGAGACGCGAAAGCGUGGGGAGCAAACAGGAUUAGAUACCCUGGUAGUCC
rnacentral:rRNA from 1 species